UUGGUUUGUGAUUAUGUUUGUAUAUAUAGACACAAAAAACCACACGAGGUGGGAAGCAAAUUUGGAUAAAAUAAAGGGGAGCCGUUGAUACUGAUGGACGGCUAUGAUGUGAGGAUGAAAGAAAGUGGUGGGACCCUAUUGGGAUAGCCGCCGGCUGAAAAGACGUAUGGGGUGGAAGGAAGUGGGGGCUGUAGGAGCGUGACGUAUGCCCUACUGUUGUUGUACGGUGUUUGCUCAGCGGCGCCUGACACUUUUUUCAAACUACUCCUGUCAUUUUUUUUUAUCUUUUAUACUCAUCCGUAAUUUUAUUUAA
rnacentral:lncRNA from 1 species